CUGAUCCUAACUUUGGGAAUAAGUUCAUUAGUUGUUAUCUCGAGUAAUGUUUUUCUAAAGUGUGAGUCACCCCACCCACGAUGAUGAGCUGGGGUGCUUCUUGCUGAGCGCGAAGCAGGUAUGGAGAAGUGGUUUAAUCCCAAGCUCUGCUUUCGGUGACCGUCCAGUGUUCCUUUUAUGGGAGCAUCAAGGGAAGGAGCAUGUUCUGAGUGGU